rnacentral:rRNA from 1 species
CCGGCUAAAACACAUCGACAAGGUCGUGCGAUGUAACCACCUUCGGGUGGGGAUUAGUGGCGAACGGGUGAGUAACACGUGGGCAAUCUGCCCUUCACUCUGGGACAAGCCCUGGAAACGGGGUCUAAUACCGGAUACUGACCUGCCAAGGCAUCUUGGCGGGUCGAAAGCUCCGGCGGUGAAGGAUGAGCCCGCGGCCUAUCAGCUUGUUGGUGACGUAAUGGCUCACCAAGGCGACGACGGGUACCCGGCCUGAGAGGGCGACCGGCCACACUGGGACUGAGACACGGCCCAAACUCCUACGGGAGGCAGCAGUGGGGAAUAUUGCACAAUGGCCGAAAGCCUGAUGCAGCGACACCGCGUGACGGAUGACGGCCUUCAGGUUGUACACUCCUUUCGGCACUUAACAAAC